rnacentral:rRNA from 1 species
GAUGAACGCUGGCGGCGUGCUUAACACAUGCAAGUCGAGCGAACGGACGAGAAGCUUGUUCCUCUGAUGUUAGCGGCGGACGGGUGAGUAAUAAGUGGAUAACCUACCUAUAUGAUUGGGAUAACUUCGGCAAACCGGAGUUAAUACUGGAUAAUAUUUUGAACCGCUUGGUUCAAAAGUGAGAGACGGUCUUGCUGUCACUUAUAGAUGGAUUCGCGCUGCAUUAGCUAGUUGGUAAGGUAACGGCUUACCAAGGCAACGAUGCAUAGCCGACCUGAGAGGGUGAACGGCCACACUGGGACUGAGACACGGUCCAGACUCCUACGGGAGGCAGCGGUAGGGAAUCUUCCGCAAUGGGCGAAAGCCUGACGGAGCAGCGCCGCGUGAGUGAUGAAGGUCUUCGGAUCGUAAAACUCUGUUACUAGGGAAGAACAUAUGUGGAAGUAACUGUGCACAUCUUGACGGUACCGGGUCAGAAAGCCCCGGCUAACUACGUG